rnacentral:misc_RNA from 1 species
GAAAAAGGCAUAUGUUCAACAGUUAGAGAGUAGUAGAAUGAAGCUGACACAGCUAGAGCAGGAGCUUCAACGAGCUCGACAGCAGGGCAUAUAUGUUUCAAGUUCAGGAGAUCAAUCACAGGCAAUGAGUGGAAAUGGAGCUUUGGCGUUUGAUGUAGAAUAUGCACGAUGGCUGGAAGAACACAACCGGCGUACAAAUGAGCUGAGAGGAGCUGUAAGUUCUCAUGCUGGUGAUGGCGAACUGCGUAUAAUUGUGGAUGGCAUCUUGGCGCACUAUGAUGAAUUAUUCAAGAUCAAGGCUGAUGCUGCAAAGGCUGAUGUUUUUCAU